rnacentral:rRNA from 1 species
GAUGAACGCUGGCGGCGUGCCUAAUACAUGCAAGUCGAGCGAACAGACGAGGAGCUUGCUCCUCUGACGUUAGCGGCGGACGGGUGAGUAACACGUGGAUAACCUACCUAUAAGACUGGGAUAACUUCGGGAAACCGGAGCUAAUACCGGAUAAUAUAUUGAACCGCAUGGUUCAAUAGUGAAAGACGGCUUUGCUGUCACUUAUAGAUGGAUCCGCGCCGCAUUAGCUAGUUGGUAAGGUAACGGCUUACCAAGGCAACGAUGCGUAGCCGACCUGAGAGGGUGAUCGGCCACACUGGAACUGAGACACGGUCCAGACUCCUACGGGAGGCAGCAGUAGGGAAUAUUGCGCAAUGGGCGAAAGCCUGACGGAGCAACGCCGGGUGAGUGAAGAAGGUCUUCGGAUUGUAAAACUCUGUUGUUAGGGAAGAACAAACGUGUAUGUAACUGUGGACGUCUUGACGGUACCUAAUCAGAAAGCGACGGCUAACUUCGUG